GCGAGCCGGUGAAUGAGGCACUGCUACGGCAGAGGAAACUCCUCCCUCCAUGCAGCAAAUGCGAUCCGGAGACGGAUAGCCAGAGAUGGUUGGCAACAGAACAGAAAAUUAUCCUAUCUGGGGUACUGUGAUGGUGAUGCCUGAGAUUCCCAGCAAGGAAUGAAAGAGCUGUCCCGCAUGGAGCAAGGCCAAAUCAAACUACAAGCGCUGCACUUUGUUUAGGUAGGCCGCAUAGCGAAAUCUCGUAAAACAGAAGGAGGGUUACAGCUGGCACGC
rnacentral:RNase_P_RNA from 1 species